rnacentral:rRNA from 1 species
AGCGAACGCUGGCGGCAGGCCUAACACAUGCAAGUCGAACGAAGUCUUCGGACUUAGUGGCGGACGGGUGAGUAACACGUGGGAACGUGCCUUUAGGUUCGGAAUAACUCAGGGAAACCUGUGCUAAUACCGAAUGUGCCCUUCGGGGGAAAGAUUUAUCGCCUUUAGAGCGGCCCGCGUCUGAUUAGCUAGUUGGUGAGGUAAAGGCUCACCAAGGCUACGAUCAGUAGCUGGUCUGAGAGGAUGACCAGCCACAUUGGGACUGAGACACGGCCCAAAAUCCGACGGGAGGCAGAAGUGGGGAAGCUUGCGCAAUGGGCGAAAGCCUGACGCAGCCAUGCCGCGUGGAGGAUGAAGGUCUUAGGAUUGUAAAAUCCUUUCACCGGUGAAGAUAAUGACUGUAGCCGGAGAAGAAGCCCCGGCUAACUUCGUGCCAGCCGCCGCCGUAAUAC